GACGAACGCUGGCGGCGUGCUUAACACAUGCAAGUCGAACGGAAAGGCCCUGCUUUUGUGGGGUGCUCGAGUGGCGAACGGGUGAGUAACACGUGAGUAACCUGCCCUUGACUUUGGGAUAACUUCAGGAAACUGGGGCUAAUACCGGAUAGGAGCUCCUGCUGCAUAGUGGGGGUUGGAAAGUUUCGGCGGUUGGGGAUGGACUCGCGGCUUAUCAGCUUGUUGGUGGGGUAGUGGCUUACCAAGGCUUUGACGGGUAGCCGGCCUGAGAGGGUGACCGGCCACAUUGGGACUGAGAUACGGCCCAGACUCCUACGGGAGGCAGCAGGGGGGAAUAUUGCACAAUGGGCGGAAGCCUGAUGCAGCAACGCCGCGGGCGGGAUGACGGCCUUCGGGUUGUAAACCGCUUUCGCCUGUGACGAAGCGUGAGUGACGGUAAUGGGUAAAGAAGCACCGGCUAACUACGUG
rnacentral:rRNA from 1 species